AUUGAACGCUGGCGGCAGGCCUAACACAUGCAAGUCGAGCGGAUGAAGGGAGCUUGCUCCUGGAUUCAGCGGCGGACGGGUGAGUAAUGCCUAGGAAUCUGCCUGGUAGUGGGGGAUAACGUCCGGAAACGGGCGCUAAUACCGCAUACGUCCUGAGGGAGAAAGUGGGGGAUCUUCGGACCUCACGCUAUCAGAUGAGCCUAGGUCGGAUUAGCUAGUUGGUGGGGUAAAGGCCUACCAAGGCGACGAUCAGUAACUGGUCUGAGAGGAUGAUCAGUCACAUGGGAACUGAGACACGGUCCAAACGCCUACGGGAGGCAGCAGUGAGGUAUAAUGGUCAAUGGGCGAGAGCCUGAACCAGCCAAGUAGCGUGCAGGAGGACGGCCCUAUGGGUUGUAAACUGCUUUUAUGUGGGGAUAAAGUGCGUGACGGGUCAUGCAUUGCAGGUACCACAUGAAUAAGGACCGGCUAAUUCCGUG
rnacentral:rRNA from 1 species